GACACUGUGGCCCCAUCCGAUGAUACCCCCGGACAGGGCCAAACAGGAACGAUAUAACCCCACCUACUUUGCCAAAGCACAGCCCCCACACCACUAGAGGGAUAUCUUCAACCACCAACUUACCAUCCUGAGACAAGGCCGAGUAUAGCCCACAAAGAUCUCCGCCACGGCACAACCCAAGGGUUGUGUUCUGUUCCUCUAUCUCACUCUCUGUCUAACUUGUGUUCUCUGUGUGACUUGUGUUGUCUGUCUGUGGUUUAGGGUGUCAUUAUCUCCACCUCCACAACGGGGAGUGCCAGACUUUUCUGGAUAGUGUCUUAUUUAUAAACCUCUGAUAAACAGGGUGAGUCUUCUGGUCUCAUUCACUUUGUUUUAUCUCUAUCCUGUCCUCACUUCUGUUCUGACAAUCUUUCAUAUUCUCUUUCCUUCUCCUCAUUGUCUCUCCAUAUCCUCUCUUCUUUCUCUUCCCACCCCCCACUCUUCUCACUGUGUUUUCCUGUAGACUGAGUGUUGGAAAGAGGACAAUGAGAGAGAGACUGUAAAAGAGGACUGGAGUGUAGAGAUUUACCGUUUAGACAGAUGAUGCUUCUUUUCUAACCUGAGCAGGGAGGUCAGUGUGUGUUUUUGUGUGCAAGUACAUAUUCUUGUGAAAAAGUGUAUGAAAGUGACACACACCCAUUAUUUUAUUUUCUCUGUCAGAAUGUCAUCCUCUCUGUCAGAAUGUCAUCCUCUCUGUCAGAAUGUCAUCCUCUCUGUCAGAAAGUCAUCCUCUCUGUCAGAAAGUCAUCCUCUCUGUCAGAAUGUCAUCCUCUCUGUCAGAAUGUCAUCCUCUCUGUCAGAAAGUCAUCCUCUCUGUCAGAAUGUCAUCCUCUCUGUCAGAAUGUCUCCCUCUCUGUCAGAAUGUCAUCCUCUCUGUCAGAAUGUCAUCCUCUCUGUCAGAAUGUCAUCCUCUCUGUCAGAAUGUCUCCCUCUCUGUCAGAAUGUCAUCCUCUCUGUCAGAAUGUCAUCCUCUCUGUCAGAAAGUCAUCCUCUCUGUCAGAAUGUCAUCCUCUCUGUCAGAAUGUCUCCCUCUCUGUCAGAAUGUCAUCCUCUCUGUCAGAAUGUCACCCUCUCUGUCAGAAUGUCUCCCUCUCUGUCAGAAUGUCUCCCUCUCUGUCAGAAUGUCAUCCUCUCUGUCAGAAUGUCUCCCCCUCUGUCAGUGACUCUGUAGUGGGUUGUUGUUGAAUGCCCAGGCAGGGGUUUCACGCAUCCCAAAAAUCUGAGGGGGCACAAAGUAGGGGGUAGUCCAGAGGGGGGUUAAAUUGGAGAAUAUUGUAUUUAAAAAUACAUUAUGUAUAUUCUGCAUAUCUAAGCAUACCUCUUGAGCUGCCUGUAUCCUCCUGACUGGUGGAAUGUGAGUUUUGAGUAUAUUUAGCUAUUGCUUGCUUUUCUGAAGUAUACAAACAUUGCCAGCCAGCAUGCCAGAUAAGAUCAUUAGACAAGCUAGCUACUCUAAUUUGAUUGAUGGGCUGAAAUGGCUUGUCGGUAGCUGCUUUUAGCAACGCUAGGAAUUACACAUUUAUAUAGCAUUUCUUGGAAUUAGAUUGCAAAAAAAACAUAAUAGUUCCCCUGGAUGCGAGAAGUUACAAUUACAUUUCAAUUUACUCUGUUGAUUGUCUUUAGGCUUGCUCCUUAUGGGAACUUGAGACAAAAACAUCUAAUGGAACAUAUAAUUAAACAAAAUUUUGAAGACCCAUACAGUUUCUCUUGCUUUUUUUGCAGGUAUGGCGCAUUGGCAGGACUUUUAUUUUAACAUGAGGUAAGAGGAGAAGAAGUGGGUCUACAAAUCAAAUAAAAAUAGAAUCAAAUGUUAUUUGUCACAUGCUUCGUAAAUACAGGUGUAGACUAACAGUGAAAUACCUACUUAUGGGUCAUUUCCCAACAAUGCAGAGUUAAAGAUAAAAAAUAUAAAUAGUAACACAAAUAAUAAAUUUAUAAUGAAUAACAAUAACAAGUAAAAACAACAUGGCUAUAUACAGGAAGUACCUGUACUGAGUCGAUGUGCAGGGGUACGAGGUAAUAACAUGGCUAUAUACAGUGAGUACCAGUACUGAGUCGAUGUGCAGGGGUACGAGGUAAUAACAUGGCUAUAUACAGUGAGUACCAGUACUGAGUCGAUGUGCAGGGGUACGAGGUAAUAACAUGGCUAUAUACAGUGAGUACCAGUACUGAGUCGAUGUGCAGGGGUACGAGGUAAUAACAUGGUUAUAUACUGGGAGUACCAGUACUGAGUCGAUGUGCAGGGGUACGAGGUAAUAACAUGGCUAUAUACAGUGAGUACCAGUACUGAGUCGAUGUGCAGGGGUACGAGGUAAUAACAUGGCUAUAUACAGGGAGUACCAGUACUGAGUCGAUGUGCAGGGGUACGAGGUAAUAACAUGGCUAUAUACAGGGAGUACCAGUACUGAGUCGAUGUGCAGGGGUACGAGGUAAUAACAUGGCUAUAUACAGGGAGUACCAGUACUGAGUCGAU